CCUACGGGGGGCAGCAGUGGGGAAUAUUGGACAAUGGGGGGAACCCUGAUCCAGCCAUGCCGCGUGUGUGAAGAAGGCCCUCGGUUUGUAAAGCACUUUCAGUGAGGAAGAACGCCUGGUGGUUAAUACCCAUCAGGAAAGACAUCACUCACAGAAGAAGCACCGGCUAACUCCGUGCCAGCAGCCGCGGUAAUACGGAGGGUGCGAGCGUUAAUCGGAAUGACUGGGCGUAAAGCGCGCGUAGGUGGCUUGAUAAGCCGGUUGUGAAAGCCCCGGGCUCAACCUGGGAACGGCAUCCGGAACUGUCAAGCUAGAGUGCAGGAGAGGAAGGUAGAAUUCCCGGUGUAGCGGUGAAAUGCGUAGAGAUCGGGAGGAAUACCAGUGGCGAAGGCGGCCUUCUGGACUGACACUGACACUGAGGUGCGAAAGCGUGGGUAGCAAACAGGAUUAGAUACCCGGGUAGUC
rnacentral:rRNA from 1 species